rnacentral:tRNA from 1 species
GCGGGUAUAGUUUAGUGGUAGAACGAAAGAUUUCCAAUCUCUCGGCGGGGGUUCGAUUCCCCCUACCCGCUCCA